rnacentral:rRNA from 1 species
UACGUAGGGUGCGAGCGUUGUCCGGAAUUAUUGGGCGUAAAGAGCUCGUAGGUGGCGGGUCACGUCGGGUGUGAAAGCCCGGGGCUUAACUCCGGGUCUGCAUUCGAUACGGGUCUGCUGGGGUCCGGCAGGGGAGACUGGAAUUCCUGGUGUAGCGGUGAAAUGCGCAGAUAUCAGGAGGAACGCCGGUGGCGAAGGCGGUUCUCUGGGCAUGUCCUGACGCUGAGGAGCGAAAGUGUGGGGAGCGAACAGG